ensembl:lncRNA
CCCGGGAAUCUAUGUGAACAGCAAGCACAGGUGAAACUGUAUCAUGGACAGCAGACAGCAACAUUCCAUUAGUGAAAACAUUGUCAUGAGCAAAUGGCUUCUUACCAAAUGACCAUAAGACAGGCCAUGUAUUGACACUGGGAAAUCUAAAUAACAAACAAAACAAAAGCAAGAUUGUGUGUAUUGUUGCUUUCAAUAAAGCUUUUGAUUCAAUUUGGCAUGGAGGCAUGCUAAAUGAAUGAGAAGCACCUUUGGGAGGAUACAUUGUUGUGAAAUCAGCAAGUGUACAGUUAAAAAUGACAGCAAACAUACAGAGGGCGGGGGGUGAGACAGGUUCCUGAUUCCCUUAGGGGGAUGAUACAGGGAUACAGCUUCUUUCAGGGCCGGGCAGUAAGACAGGUCCACAGUGGUGAGACAGGGCCGGGGGGUUGAGACAGGGAUGCAGCUUCCAUCAGGGUUUUAUGGGUGAGACAGGGAUACAGCUUCCUUCAUGGCCAGGGGGUGAGAUAGGCCCAGGGCAUGAGACAGGGAUGCAGAUUUCCUCAGGGUCAGGGGUGAGACAGGGAUACAGCUUCCUUCAUGGCCAGGGGGUGAGACAGGGAUGCAGAUUUCCUCAGGGUCAGGGGGUGAGACAGGGAUACAGCUUCCUUCAUGGCCAGGGGGUGAGACAGGGAUGCAGAUUUCCUCAGGGUCAGGGGGUGAGAUAGGCCCAGGGCAUGAGACAGGGAUGCAGAUUUCCUCAGGGUCAGGGGGUGAGACAGGCCCAGGGCAUGAGACAGGGAUGCAGAUUUCCUCAGGGUCAGGGGGUGAGACAGGCCCAGGGCAUGAGACAGGGAUGCAGAUUUCCUCAGGGUCAGGGGUGAGACAGGGAUACAGCUUCCUUCAUGGCCAGGGGGUGAGACAGGGAUGCAGAUUUCCUCAGGGUCAGGGGUGAGACAGGGAUACAGCUUCCUUCAUGGCCAGGGGGUGAGACAGGGAUGCAGAUUUCCUCAGGGUCAGGGGUGAGACAGGGAUACAGCUUCCUUCAUGGCCAGGGGGUGAGACAGGGAUGCAGAUUUCCUCAGGGUCAGGGGGUGAGAUAGGCCCAGGGCAUGAGACAGGGAUGCAGAUUUCCUCAGGGUCAGGGGGUGAGACUGGCCCAGGGCAUGAGACAGGGAUGCAGAUUUCCUCAGGGUCAGGGGGUGAGACAGGCCCAGGGCAUGAGACAGGCAUGCAGAUUUCCUCAGGGUCAGGGGUGAGACAGGGAUACAGCUUCCUUCAUGGCCAGGGGGUGAGACAGGACCGUGGCGUGAGACUUGGG